ACGCUCGACACCUACGGGGGGCAGCAGUGGGGGAGUAUUGCACAAUGGAGGAAACUCUGAUGCAGCGACGCCGCGUGAGGGAAGACGGUUUUCGGAUUGUAAACCUCUGUCUUCAGGGACGAAAUGAAUGACGGUACCUGAAGAGGAAGCUCCGGCUAACUACGUGCCAACAGCCGCGGUAAUCUGAGCGGGCUGGCAAGGC
rnacentral:rRNA from 1 species